GAGAAAGGUUCCAUGUGAACAGCAAUUGGACAUGGGUUAGUCGAUCCUAAGAGAUAGGGAAACUCCGUAUCAAAGUGCGCGAUUCAUCGCGCCGCCUAUCGAAAGGGAAUCAGGUUAAUAUUCCUGAACCAGGACGUGGAUAUUGUAUGGUAACAUAAGUGAACUCGGAGACGUCGGCAGUGAGCCCGGGAAGAGUUAUCUUUUCUUUUUAACAGCUUUCGACCCUGGAAUCAGAUUAACUGGAGAUAGGGUUAACAAGCUGGGAAAGUACUUCAUGUCUGAAGUAUCCGGUGCCUUCCUGACGGCCCUUGAAAAUCCGAGGGAAAGAUUUAUUCGCACCCCUGGUCGUACUCAUAACCGCAUC
rnacentral:rRNA from 1 species